rnacentral:rRNA from 1 species
UACGUAGGAGGCAAGCGUUGUCCGGAUUUAUUGGGUUUAAAGGGUGCGUAGGCGGUGACCUAAGUCAGUUGUGAAAUACGGCAGCUUAACUGUCGAGGUGCAAUUGAUACUGGGUUACUUGAGUACUGAUGAGGUAUGCGGAAUGGACGGUGUAGCGGUGAAAUGCUUAGAUAUCGUCCAGAACACCGAUAGCGAAGGCAGCAUACUAAGGAGUAACUGACGCUGAGGCACGAAAGUGUGGGGAUCAAACAGG